rnacentral:rRNA from 1 species
AUUGAACGCUGGCGGCAGGCUUAACACAUGCAAGUCGAACGGUAACAGGGAGAAACUUGUUUCUCUGCUGACGAGUGGCGGACGGGUGAGUAAUGCUUGGGAAUCUGCCUUAUGGAGGGGGAUAACCACUGGAAACGGUGGCUAAUACCGCGUAAUAUCUUCGGAUUAAAGUGUGGGACUUUCGAGCCACACGCCAUAAGAUGAGCCCAAGUGAGAUUAGGUUGUUGGUGAGGUAAUGGCUCACCAAGCUUACGAUCUCUAGCUGGUUUGAGAGGAUGACCAGCCACACUGGGACUGAGACACGGCCCAGACUCCUACGGAAGGCAGCAGUGGGGAAUAUUGCACAAUGGGCGCAAGCCUGAUGCAGCCAUGCCGCGUGAAUGAAGAAGGCCUUAGGGUUGUAAAGUUCUUUCAUUAGUGAGAAAGCGGUUAUAUCUAAUAGGUGUAACCAUUGAUGUUAGCUAAAGAAGAAGCACCGGCUAACUCCGUGCCAGCAGCCGCGGUAAUACGGAGGGUGCGAGCGUUAAUCGGAAUGACUGGGCGUAAAGGGCACGCAGGCGGUUAUUUAAGUCAGAUGUGAAAGCCCCGAGCUUAACUUGGGAAUUGCAUUUGAUACUGGGUAACUAGAGUCCUCUAGGGAGGGGUAGAAUUCCAUGUGUAGCGGUGAAAUGCGUAGAGAUGUGGAGGAAUACCGAAGGCGAAGGCAGCCCCUUGGAGAGAGACUGACGCUCAUGUGCGAAAGCGUGGGUAGCAAACAGG